AUACUCACCGCUGUCCUUAACUGGGUGGCGGUCAAAGGGGGUGUGCAUGGGGGCAACUCUGUGCAUAUCUCUGGGGUUCCUACUCUUUUACUUUGAGCAAAUUAGAGUGUUCAAAGCAGGCAAUCGAGCCUUGAAUACUUCAGCAUGGGAUAAUGGAACAGGACUGGGGUCCUGAUUUCGUUGGUUUCUGGGAUCUCAGUAAUGAUUAAUAGGGAUAGUUGGGGGCAUUAGUAUUUAAUUGUCAGAGGUGAAAUUCUUGGAUUUAUGAAAGACUAACUUCUGCGAAAGCAUUUGCCAAGGAUGUUUUCAUUAAUCAAGAACGAAAGUUAGGGGAUCGAAGACGAUCAGAUACCGUCGUAGUCUUAACCAUAAACGAUGCCGACCAGCGAUUGGGAGACGUUACAUGGAUGACUCCCCCAGCAGCUUGCGAGAAAUCACAAGUCUUUGGGUUCCGGGGGGAGUAUGGUCGCAAGGCUGAACUUAAAGGAAUUGACGGAAGGGCACCACCAGGAGUGGAGCCUGCGGCUUAAUUUGACUCAACACGGGGAAACUUACCAGGUCCAGACAUAGUAAGGAUUGACAGAUUUGAGAGCUCUUUCUUGAUUCUAUGGGUGGUGGUGCAUGGCCGUUCUUAGUUGGUGGAGUGAUUUGUCUGGUUAAUUCCGUUAACGAACGAGACCUUAACCUGCUAAAUAUGUCACUGGUAGACUUCUGCCAAAACAGGUGGGUGUCUAGGGGAAAGUUUCGAUGGACUCCGACGCAUUCAUCUGUGGAUGACUACCAGGAUGUACUUCUUAGAGGGACUAUCUGUAUCAAAGCAGAUGGAAGUUUGAGGCAAUAACAGGUCUGUGAUGCCCCUAGAUGUUCUGGGCCGCACGCGCGCUACACUGACAAGUUCAACGAGUUUAACACCUUGCUCGAUAGGGCUGGGUAAUCUUUGAAAAACUUGUCGUGAUGGGGAUAGAUCAUUGUAAUUAUUGGUCUUCAACGAGGAAUUCCUAGUAAGCGUGAGUCAUCAGCUCGCGUUGAUUACGUCCCUGCCCUUUGUACACACCGCCCGUCGCUCCUACCGAUUGAAUGAUCCGGUGAAAUGUUGGGAGCUGGGGUCUUUUGGCGGCGGGGCAACUCGUCGUCAGGGAUUCUGCAAACUUCAUUAAACCUUAUCAUUUAGA
rnacentral:rRNA from 1 species